GCCAGGAGGUCGUGUGAGGGACAGACAGCGCUAGGUGGUCAUGCGAGGAAUGGGAAGGACUGAGCUGGAACUGCAGAAGGCAGAGAGAAGAAGGAGAGAAAGAGCCAGAGCUGCCCAUGGGAGGCUACACAGAAAAGCUUCACAGAGCUGUGUAAACUUCUGUUCAUCAAUACCCAGCAAACCAGAAGAGCAGUUCAGUUGCACAUAGAGCUCAUUUGUAACACCGACAGCUUUAACACUACCUAAACAAGAGCUGCUUCGCUGAACGCCACUAGAGAUGGAUGGGAUUACAGAAAAUAAAUAGGAUUCAUCAAGCAGUAAAGAUACAUAAGGAACUAACUCCUACCACUUCUUGAAGGAUACUACUUACUGCCUCCUCUAAGUCUCCUGACAUAAACUGGAAUAUGCAAAUACUGAAUUCAGCAGAAAAGCAAGAGCCUCACCAGAAGAAAUGGUUCAGACUAUCUUCCAAGGGUGGAACAUGAGAUUGUUCACCCAUAACAAACUUGUUCAGAGAGCUCUUCCAGUUGUUUGCGUUGUUUCUGUUCUGUUUCAGUGACUGAUAUGCAUAAAGCUGUACAAAUGUGUACACAUGUGAGUGAAGAAGCAUGUUUAUAAGUUCUGAUUAAUUGGCAGCAACUAAAGGGAUGAGGGAGAGUAGUUCUAAGCAGUGGGGGUUAUCAGACUUGGCUCAGGACCGAUAGUAUAGACCAAAGGUUGUUGAACCCUGUCUAAAGACGAAAGAAAUAAGAAUUUAAGGGCCUGAGAACAGAUCUAUUGGUAGUGACUUCUGUGCUAUGAAGCAUUAGGAAAUUUUACUUUGGGCAGAGGAUGAAAUGGACCUACUGAGGGUAAAAAUAGUCAGACAUCUCUUGCAAACAACCAUGAAUAGUCAGUGGGAGGGAGUUUCUCAGUAAAAGAGAAAUGGCUUGCAGAGUACUGAAGCAAACUGAGAUAUUCAGGAUGAUAGUUCUGAGCCAACAGAAUAACAGACUGGAUGGCAAAGGUUUAUGCAGCUAAAGAGAGGAUGAGGGAGGGAAUUGGAUGUACAGUCUGCUUUCACUAAUUAGUGUUUCAGUUCCUCCUCUCAGUUAUCUAGGCUCAGGGAAGAGAAGGCCAGAAAUAAAGAAGCACAGCACAUGUACUGCCAACUCUGCUAUAUUAGCAGUGUCUGUAGUAAAACACCUUCUGAAAUCAAGCCCACUAGUGCAUAUAUCUGCUUUCCUCAGCCAAACCUUCUGAAAAGUUUAUGACAGAGAAAAGGAAAUUAUUUAUAUACACUCUUGGUAAUGGGCAAUUAAUAAAAUGUCACCACAUAUAAUAUAUGCACCAAGGCGCAUUAUUGGCAAAAUAAUAUAUGGCACUUAAAGUAUGGUGUUUCAGGCUACUAUUCAAAGGAUGAAGUGAAGAUUCAAUGAAAAUGACUGAUUAUAGAAAUUAAUUAUGAAAGAUCCUGAAACAUUGCAAUUUAAAUAUGUUGUGGGUCUAGGCCUAUAAAACUGGAAAAAUCUGUCACAACUGUUAAGACUGUGUGAUUAUUAAGAGAUGCCUCCGCCUGAAUUAAGACGCAAACAAGACCAUAUGUCCAAGCUAAUAGUACUGAUUUUAUUUAAUAAUAAAAUUUGAGGUAGAGAGAUAGAAAGAAAUAGAGGGGAAAGGAGGG